rnacentral:rRNA from 1 species
CCUACGGGGGGCAGCAGUGGGGAAUAUUGGACAAUGGGGGGAACCCUGAUCCAGCCAUGCCGCGUGUGUGAAGAAGGCCCUCGGGUUGUAAAGCACUUUCAGUGAGGAAGAACGCCUGGUGGUUAAUACCCAUCAGGAAAGACAUCACUCACAGAAGAAGCACCGGCUAACUCCGUGCCAGCAGCCGCGGUAAUACGGGAGGGUGCGAGCGUUAAUCGGAAUUACUGGGCGUAAAGCGCGCGUAGGUGGCUUGAUAAGCCGGUUGUGAAAGCCCCGGGCUCAACCUGGGAACGGCAUCCGGAACUGUCAAGCUAGAGUGCAGGAGAGGAAGGUAGAAUUCCCGGUGUAGCGGUGAAAUGCGUAGAUAUCGGGAGGAAUACCAGUGGCGAAGGCGGCCUUCUGGACUGACACUGACACUGAGGUGCGAAAGCGUGGGUAGCAAACAGGAUUAGAUACCCGAGUAGUC